CGAGCCACCUCUUUUCAUCUCUAUUUCGUAUAUUUUCGUCUACGUUUAGUCCCACAUUGCCUAGCCUUUGACCUCUAAGCCUCUUUUCCACCAAUAAAUAUAGACCCAUAGAGCCUCCAAAAAUCAUCCGAUUCGGGUUAAAUCAAUAUUUUGGUUUGAUUAGAUUCAUUUAAGAAAAAUAUAUUUCUCCUCUCCGGUGCGACUUCUGGAAAUUGUCUCUUCUCUCCAAAGUCGUCUUUUCUCUGCCUUAUAAAGGUAUCUUUCUUUGUUUUUUUCUUUUUCUUAUACUUCCGUAGUUUAUUAUUUUUAGACUAAUACGAUAGAAUAAUUAGAUUAUCAAUUAGUCUACGUAUUUAUACUUUAGACCCUAACCGUAGCUUGGUUUUGACGUUUUACGAAUUGUUUUCUUUGUUCUCUCUGAUCUUUGAGUGAUUGCUUAUUUGUGGUUACUAUUGCUUGCUUACGAUAGAUUGACCGGAGUGUGACGAGUAGAACUAUAAAGAGUUUUGAGUGCGAAUCAUCUUCAUCAACAUUGUAGGCAAGUUCACACUUUGAUCAUAUUCCUUUCAUACCCAAUUUUUAUGCAUUAGUUUCAACCUCAAACAUUGCGUGAGUAGGAUUGAUAACAUGUGGGUAUUGGGAAGUAGUUGAUGAGGUAGGAACCUCUCGCCCUGCAUUCAAACCUUGGGAGUUACUAUUACGUUAUGCUUAUAUUUCCAUGCUAUACUCGUAGACGUGGAUUGGGUUUGAGAGUAUUCAUGAUAGAUGUGAGAUUGUUAAUUAAUGGUUUACUUAAGGUGGCAACUUUAACACACAUCCGGGUGGAUUGAGGCACCUGGGUAUUCCAGCGAUUGCCUGUCUAGGCACCUGAGUAUUCCAGGAUUGCCUGUUUUUUAUGGACCGCCACCCAGGCUCAAAGGGAUCAUGAGAUUAUUCAUACUAGAAACUUCCGUGCGCAUCGACAAGCUAUUAUGGGCUCUAGCAUAGUUGAUUAAGUCGUGUGAACUCUUACAGUGGUAGACUAGCAGAUGUAGGGGUUGUAGGUGGUACGGUCUACCCAUCGUAAGGUGCAAACGCUUCUGAAAGACUAUGUCUCGGUCAUCCAUUUCUCAAACACCAUGUAGUGUGAGAAAUCCAACGGAGGAGAUCGAAUCUUGUGGGGAAAAGUGCGCAAACCUCUGCAGAGUGUAUAAACUAAUCAUGAUUAGCCGUGUCCCCGGUUAUGGACGUCUUGAGUAUCUAGUACUUGGAUUAUCAUGUGAAUCUCAUCAUGUUACUUUAAAUUAAGUUUGUUGGGUUUAAUGAAGUUACUUAAUUGGGAUUGAGAAUGCUGUCAACCAUUCUCGAUGUUCAACAACCACCAUGAUAGUUAAAUAAAAUUUAUUCCUUUGCAGUAGGGAAAAAUUGGCUUUUCGCAAAAACCUUAUAACCAUAGAGCUUUUCCACCACCCAUAUAUGCAUGUAGUGAUAGCCAUUGUUCAUCAUUUCUCUCUAUGGUGUGAAUUUGCUAGUACAUUCAAUGUACUGACCCUUUGUGGCCGCAACGUCUCAUGUUGCAGGAUUAUCUUACGACGAGUAAGUGAUACGUUAGGGUUACGAUUUCUACACUCAACUUUGCCGUUGGUGUUGAUGGGAAUCCACAACCUUGUUACUUCCGCUAUUUUGGAUUGAGGUAAUACUAUUUACGUUACCUUUACAUGUGAUUUACCUCUGUUAUAAAUCCUCGAGUACUGUGUGUGUCAGCAUACCGAUCCAGGGAUGACACUUAAGCACAGAGACUUGAUCCAUUCGGGUCGGGUCGCUACAAGAUGGUAUCAGAGCACAUGUUGGCUGUAGGACGUGACCCCUAGAAACUGGCAAUCCCAUAGGAAAGAUUUUUCUCUACAACUUUCUUUUCAAAAGGAUCUUUUACCUCUCUUCUCUUUUGAGCUUAUUCAAAUAUACCCUUUUAGUGAGACCAUACCCCUUUUCAUUUUUUAACCACUCGAAGAUUCGGCUGAUGAGACUACUCCAAGAAGUACAAGAUAUGGGACCACUAAGACCACAUGGGAAUGAAGAGGAUUUUACCGUAUAUUAUAAUGAUGGAAACUACAACGGUUGAAGACACCGAAGACUAGGGGAAUCUGAAGGCCCUGUAGAAUUUUCCAGAUUUGUAUGACCUAGGAAGGCACCCCUUAUGGAACUUGGCAGACUAAGGAAGCCGUCAAUACCUGAGAUCAAGGUGUAUCAGAGAAAGACCGAGUAUGGAGAGUUAAAAACCUCAAAGUUUUGUCAAGAAAACCCUAAGGCAGGAGAUAUCAACUAUGGAAGAUAGCUCAUGGCAAUGACAAGGGCAGAAACACGGUUAUCCCUGAUGUCAUCGCCACUGAUACUAUGGUCACCGAGCUGAGCUAAGCAUGCAUUUCUUCAGAAGGAUUGGAUGGUAGAAGGCUGAUGGAGCAUCUAUCAACAAAGGAUGCAGUUUUAACCUUAGCUGGUGUAUCACCAAGAUCUGGAGAAUUACAUCAGGAAUUUUAAGAUGGACCUGCAGGAAGCCAUAUUUUGACAAGGAAGCAUUUCGUGAAGAACUUAGGUCCAAGAAGCUGAAGUAGCCAAGCUGGAGGAGCAAAACCUCGAGAUACCAGAGAUUCGUCAUGAACUGAAGGACAGUAGGACCAUGGUUCACGCAAAGGAUGUUGAAACCAAAAGUUUGGAACACAACUCUAGAAUAUUAAAGGACGUCACGAGAGACUUCGCGUCAACAUAGUUGAUCUGGCAAAAGAACUUGAGAAAGAAAAGCAUGAUCGGAAGAAGCCAUUGGAGGCAUGAACAAGGCUUGAAGAGUUUGGAGACGUUGAAUAUUUAUUGACCUUUAGAAGACCAAACCCCUGUUAUAUACCUACGUUAGAUGCGAUGUUUGUGAGCUGUCAUUUGUUUGAUGUUUUUCCUGAUAGCCACAAAUAAAAUCUGUCUUUUCAAAACUUUUGUUUGUAUUGUGUGUAUCCCACUCUAUCUCUCUUAUCUCACCCCAAACCAAUGGACCCAAUAGAGGAUGAAUGAAGAUGAGCUUAUAUUUUCUGGACCGAUGAGUCAAUUGGAGACGGACCAAUGGAUUCAGAACAUGGAGGAUCACAUGAAGAAUAACCCUAUAGUCAAAAAGGAUAUGACCCAGCAUGCUCUUCAAUGCUUUGAAAGAGGUGCUGCUACUUGGUGGAGGAUGUACCAAACCAUCAAUGGAUGGCAAGGAGUAACCACUUGGAAAGAAUUUAAGUUGACUCUGCCAAAGUCUCGACUUGUGUCCCGAAAGUUGAAGCCUUAUGGAAAGGAUAUGAAGAAACCUUGUGCAUGCAAGAUUUGUGGAGAAAUAGGACACACCCAUAAAGAACACAAGGAUGAAUGCCCUAAUUGUGAAGGAAGUCACCCAGUUGAAGAAUGCCCAACUAGGCAGAUUACUUGUUUCUUGUGUGAAGGGACUACCCACUAUCCUACUCAGUGUCACAUUUACCCCAUGGUACAACGAACCAUCUAGCAGAAGAAAGAAGUAAUGAAAGGAGCCCUCAUGGAAAUUUUAGAAGAAGCUGUGAUGAAGGAAGAGAUGGAGGACACACCUAAAGAAGACCCGAGUAAACCCUGCACUAAGUCUUGCUAUUCAUGUGGAGAAGAAGGACACAUCUCCCAAAAUUGUUUGAAUGGGGAUCUAGUAGAAUUCCCGACAGAGGAAGUAGAAUAUGACCCACAGGAAAUAGAAGCCCUGAUUGGAAUGGAAAAGUCCAGGAAGAGAAACCGAUUGGAGCCCAGGAGGGACCUGAGUCAUAUCACCUGUUACAGGUGCAAGGAGUCAGGGCACUACCUCAAUAGUUGCCCAAAAAGGGAACCUCGAGACUUGUCAGAAGUAAUAUGCUUUAGUUGUAAUGGAGCAGGGCACUUUGCCAGAGAAUGCCCCAAGGAGAAGGAAACUUGUGCUAGAUAGUUGAGUUUGCAACAAAAGAAAUGGAGUAGUAGAAGUGAGAACAUUUUCUUUUAUGUUGAGGCGUUGAGUUGAGACAUGUAAUGGAAAAGUGAGAGAUUGUAAUCACUUGAGAAUGAAUAAAGUUAGCAUCGUUGGUACUGAUAUGGAUUUUAUGAGUUGUUACUCUAUGAAGAAGAAUUUUGGGCAUUCUGAGGAUAUGAGAAAUAUGGUCUAUGGAAGAUUUGUGCAUUUCAAGGGUGGUAGUACCCUGUAAGAACCGUUGACCCCUGGAAAAGAUAAGGAUACUCCACUGAGUGGAUUUCGGACAAAAUGAAUAUGAGUUUUGUCUCGAUAUGUGUGAUACCCCAAGAGUAUGUGGGAUGAAGUUGGAGACCGUCAGUUGUUUGGACAAAAUGUGAGCAAGGAGUCAAAAGAGAAUGUUAAGUUUAUUGGAGAUAGACUGAAGGUAGCUCAGUCCAGGAAGAAGAGUUAUGUGGAUUAAAAAACUCAAGGAGGUAGUCUAUGAAAUUGGAGACAAAGCAUGUCUUCGUGUGACCCCUCUGCGAGGAGUUAAACGAUUUGGAGUUAAGGGACAGUUAGCCCCGAGAUUUGUAGGACCAUACCGAGUUUUGGAGCAUAUGGGAGAAGUGGCCAACAAGUUGGAGUCACCUGAAGGACUGUCAGGAGUUCAUGAUAUGUUUCACGUUUCCCAGUUGAAGAAAUGCCAUGCAGAGAUGGCCAAUAUUCCCCUGUAAGGACGCUUGACCUUGGAAAGGAUAAUGACGUUCCAUGAAGUGGAAUAUGGACUUCAUAAGUAUAAGCUUUUAUCUCGGUAUGAGGUAUAUCCCACGAGGAUGAAGAGAUGAAUUACUAUUGGAUAUAAAGGAGGUAUGAAGUUGGAAGUUGGAAUAAUAAUCAGUAGCCCCUAGGAUGAGCUCAAGGAUUACAAAGUAAUGAGAUGGGCCAUAACCCACAGGCCCCAGGACCUACCAGAAGCAAGCACAUCCUUGCUGAAGGAAAAAAACUAGAAGAAGUUACGAUUUUAUCGAUAGACGAUCUUAUAGGAGUAACGCAAAACCCGAGAGUUGUGAAGGAACGAUAGAUGCUUGUUUGGCUUGCAGAAUCAAUGGAUUAUUCCGAAUGCAGUUCAUGGACAAGAGAAAUUCUGCAAUGCUAGUGAGGAUGACCGAGUGUUAGAAUGCGAGAUUCGCUAAACCGUAUACAAGGUAAUGAUUUGGGUGCGGGAUGGAUUGAUCACCAUACCGACUUACUCUUAUUAUUCGCCUUGCUAUAUGGGAUGGUAAAUCUGAGAUACUUACCUAUAGUGGAGAGACGACGAUCAAAACCUUGUUUAAGCCUUAGAAUGGUAUAGGUAUUUUUCCCUUGUACAAGGCAAUUUUUGCCAACCGUAGGUUAUACGGUGAGGAUCAACCCAGACCCAUUUCCUGCAGGAGAAACCAUGAUUGGAUUACCACCAUGAGAUAUUGAUAGUUGAUUAGUAUUGGCGCCAGACCCGGCAGCUAAGAAGACCCAGUCUCGAAAGAACCUUACCUAGAUGAAAGGCAAAAUAAUUGUGGUAAAGGUUAUGCCACUACCGGAAGAGCCCGGAUAAGGAAUUAUCCCGAAGAUCCAAGAAGACCAACACUGUUAACAAUAAAAAUGGAGUAAAUGAGUUUUGAUGGAACUGUAACCAUGCUUCUAAGGGUGGUAGCACCCCAGACCCGGAGACGAUGGAUGAAAUUUUGAAGAGACCCCGAACCUAACCUAUUUCUUUCUAGCCUCUCCGAAUCUUGAGGACGAGAUUCCUUUUAAGGGUGGUAGGUUCGUAACAUCCCAAAAUUCUAAAUUUUGGAAUAUUAUAAUAAAUAGAUAGAUUUGAUUGAUUGUUUGAUUGAUUGUGUGAAAUUGAGUGAAAUUCGAAACCUUUUUGAAAGUUAAAUGAGAGGGAAUAAAAGGACUUUCCCAAACUUUCAUUUUGCAUUUAUGAUCUUCGUGAAUUCAAAUUCUUUUCAAAUACAAAACCCUAGAGAGAAGAUGACAUGACUUCUUCCAUUUAAAUAAAUGAAAAGAGUGUUUAAAAAAUAUUUGAAUUCCAUUGGGAAAUAUUUUCCAAUUCAGAAACUUUAUGCAACUCAAUGAUUUUCACGAGAGAAGAUAAAAUGACUUCUUCAAAUUAUGAAAUAUGAGUUGGGAGUUUCAAAGGUCACAUUUAAAGUCCUUUUAGAAUUUAUUUUCAAUUUGGAGUUAUUUGAGUUUUAUUCAAAUUAUUUUUCUCCAAAAAUAAAAUAUAUGGAAAAUAGGGUAACAUGAUUCCCUACAUCAGAAAAUUGGAGAUAAAUAAAUUUGAAUUCAUUCUGGUAUUUCUAAAAUGAUUUUUAUUGGAUUUUAUUAGACCGGUAGCACUAUUUGAAUUAUCUGAAUUUGUGUGAAUUUUAUUUAAUGCUAGGAAAAUGUUCAUCUUAUAGAAAAUCUUUUUUUCAAAAUUUUGAUACAUAAUAUGCCUAUAUAAAGUUUUAUUUUUAUUUUUGUUUUUCAGUUUAUCGCAUUCUGUAAAAAAAAUAACAAAAACUGCGCGCGCCUGAAACUAACUGUCGCCCACGUGCGCAUCAUAGUACCAGCGGACGCCCUAUUUUUUUAUUCUUUAUCCUAUAUGGGCCAGGCCCAGCCAGCCUUUUCAUUUUUCCUUUCUUAGGCCGAUUUUGUUUAAAAAAACCGCAGCCGCAGCGUGCGCGUGCGGCCGGCCGAAGGCCUUUAGGCCCAUGUGAGCCACCUCUUUUCAUCUCUGUUUCGUAUAUUUUCGUCUACGUUUAGUCCCACAUUGCCUAGCCUUUGACCUCUAAGCCUCUUUUCCAUCAAUAAAUAUAGACCCAUAGAGCCUCCAAAAACCAUCCGAUUCGGGUUAAAUCAAUAUUUUGAUUUGACUAGAUUCAUUUAAGAAAAAUAUAUUUCUCCUCUCCGGCGCGACUUCUGGAAAUUGUCUCUUCUCUCCAAAGUCGUCUUUUCUCUGCCUUAUAAAGGUAUCUUUCUUUGUUUUUUCUUUUUCU
rnacentral:lncRNA from 1 species